UGUACAUUUUGGAAACAAAAAAAAAUACAAACAAUGUUAUUAACAAACAAUUAACAAACAAUUAUUAAUAGAAUAUUUAGAGAACUUUGACUUUAUUUCUGUCACAUGAACAAAAGCUCUUAAUGAAAUUUCUGUUGUUCAUUCGAAGUCACCAUGAUGGAGGACAGAGUCUGCUUUAGUUGGGCUCUUCAACUAUUCAUUCUGCCACUAGUUUUUAUUUUGGCUGGUAUAAUUAAUUGUGUAUGUUAAGUCUGAUAAGAUUGGCUAUGAUAUGGAAAUCAACCCUCACUUGCUCGUGCUUGGAUAUCUUGUUAGUUUUAAAUGAAAAGUGAAUACCAUAUGUGUGUAACCAGGUGAUGGUUGAUAGGGGGUAAAAUAUUUAUAAAAAUGACGAAAAAAGGUGUAGGAAAAUACAGACAGGACCCUUUAAGAAACCUCCGAUGACGUCAUCACGCGUAUGUGUACGCGAACGCGCGCGCUCCCGCAAAUUAAUGAGGAAGUAACUGUGCAUUGCUGUAUGCGCGAGCGACCAACGAUUGACCAACGAUUGGUAUGAUAUCCAGUUGGAUGUUGACGCAGGAUUGCGUUGGUCUGUGAGAAUGAGUAUCAUUGCAAGUGGUAAAUGUACAGAUGAAGCUGUUUACAACUUAGGUGUUUGAGUGCACAGUGGGAAACACAGGGAAAACAGGAAAUGGCGUUAAAUCCUGGAUUGUUGAAUCUCUUUCUCUUUCUCGUGCAGAUGGAAAACAGGGUUUGAGCUUGGACACGUGAACUACUCUUAAAUCUUCUCCUGAAGCUUCCAGAACAAUUUCAUAGUUCAGGGAUCCUAGUUUCCGAAUGAUUCUAUAAGGACCCAACCACUUUGGAGCAAGCUUAGCAGAAAAAGACUUCUCUGCUUUUGAAAGAGGAAAUCAUCAGGAUAAACAUCUCGUGGUUGCAAUAACACAUCCAUAAGUCCUCGAAGAGCUCUAUUGAGGUUAAGCUCAGCUGGAGUCACUCCCGUGGACUUAUUUACCGCAGAAUUAAUAACAAACCUGAACUCUGAGUUCCUGAAAUACAGAAGACACAAACUGAGGUCCUCGAUCCGACAAGAUGUAAUCUGGAACUCCCCAACGAGUAAGAAUUUCUCGGACCAGAGUCUGGACCAUAAUCCUUGGCUGCAGAUGAAGGCAGUUUUUGUCUUGGCUGUUCCUUUCCAUUGGCACCUGCCAGUAGCCACUGUUGAGGUCCAGGGUAGAAAAAACAACAUCACCAUUUAAGGAUUCAAGAAUUUUCUUGGAUGGAAUACCGGAGAGGCCCAAGCAGAAGAGGACGGCUCAAUGAUAUCAGCCUCCAACAUCUUAUCAAUGAGUUGCUUGAUCACUCUCUGUUUUGUUGGUGACACUCUGUAAGGCUUUUGUUUUAUCGGUACAUCUUGGUUGACAAAAAUCUGACAAGUAUUGUGGCAUGCUUCCCACAAAAGAUUGAUUUCUUCACUGACUGGACUAGGAGGAACUGCAGAAAAGAGAGCUAAAGGCCACUGAAAAACAGGUAAUCCAAACCCAACACAACAGGAAAAGCAAGCAUCUCAGAAGCCAAAACCACCACAGGUAAGUAUACUGUUGAAGUUUGAACGGUGAUAUGAACUUUUCCCCAUCCUAAAGGUUGUCGGGCUCCUCCAUCAGCUAAAUAAAUUGGACCUUCUGUCCAAGGCUUGAGGUGUUGAAUAUGAUGACCCAUAGUUUCCCAUAGUUUCUCAUUCAGAAGGGUGUAUGAAGAUCCAGUGUCCACCAAACCAUGUCCUUUCCAGGUAUGGAUGGUUACAGGAACCAACAACUGCUGAGGAAGAUAUGAAGAAAAGGGACAAGUAGUUUGGAUUCUGCCCAGAACUGUUCUGUGGACAUAAAGUUGGAGGAUGAGGUCCUUUACACUUCCAACAGAAGGGUUUUUUAGUGCCAUCAUGUGCUGUAACUGGAGUAUUUAACUGAACAUUAACAGGAGUACUGGCACUAGUUUUUCAAGGUUUUUUCGUUGCUCAUACUGUAGCUGAUUUUCUUUGUCUUUUUCCAGUUGUUGACCAAGACGGACAAGACCAUCCACAGUAUUAACACCGUUACUGCGCAGUUGACUGGCCAUUUGUGGAUUUAUGUUCUUAAGAAUCAGCUUGAUGAUUUCUUCCUCUGUGAUGAGUGGUUUCCAGCGUUUACACAAAGCUCUAUACAUAUAGAAAGGCAGCAAGAAACUUGGAUUCAAAAUUCUGCCAAGUAGUGGUUUUAUGUCUAGCGACAUCCCACCAGUCUCUAGCUGUUCCAUGAAGCACAUUCCGGAGUGUGGCUAUUAACUCUUCAACAGAAAGUGGAUGGAGUGACAUGAAAUCAUAACACUUCUCCAAGAAUAUUAGAGGAUCCUCACAAUCUUCAAAGCAUCCAAAGCAAGGAAAUUGCAUCUUAAUUGGCUGUUUUCCCAAAAACCAUACUCUUCCUUCCACAGGGGUGUACCAAAUUCCGUAGCAGAAUGAAAAUCUGAAUCACCCAUUCCAGAUUGUAAAGUGGAAUGAAGUCGCUGUAACCUGGGGUUCGCCACUGGAGAAUCUACCAAAUUAGAAGAUGGAAAGAUAACUGUUUGCACUGAAGCAUUUGCUUUUGUGGAAAUUUGCUGUGAUGAUUUUAGACUUUUGAUGUCCAGUGUUAAUUGUUGAAGCUUUUGUGUACACUGCUGUACCUCAUUCUGUAAAGUUGAAUUGGAAUUGGACUCCGCAAUAAAGGUAUUCAUUUGUUGUA